GUGUUUUACCUUUAAUGCUGCGCCUUGGCCUCCAAUCAGGAUAUAUGGAGCCUGUAUUUUAACCAUCACUCCAUCCGUCUCCUCUUCCCACUUAUCCUUAAAUGUUGAACUGGCUGAUGGAUCAAAGAACAUUGUACAGUGAGGAGGUAAUAUUGGAGGAAAACUCUU